rnacentral:tRNA from 1 species
GGGGAUAGAUAGGUGCUGGUGUGCCUCCUGGUCUUCAAAAUCAGUUGCGGGGCGUUUGUAGCGUCCUGGGUGGGUUCAAUUCCCACAUAUUCCCGCCA